GAGUAAAGAUUUCGGUCGCUUUGGGAGGAGCUCGCUUACUAUCAGCUUGUUGGUAGGGUAAUGGCCUACCAAGGCUAUGACGGUUAGGGGGUGUGAGAGCAUGACCCCCAGCAUUGGCACUGAAACACUGGCCAAACACCUACGGGUGGCUGCAGUCGAGAAUCUUCCACAAUGGGGGAAACCCUGAUGGAGCGAUGCUGCGUGCGGGAUGAAGGCCUUCGGGUUGUAAACCGCUUUUGUAGGGGACGAAAUUUUUGACGGUACCCUUUCGAAUAAGAGGUUGCUAACUCUGUGCCAGCAGCAGCGGUAAUACAGAGACCUCAAGCGUUAUCCGGAUUUACUGGGCGUAAAGCGUCUGUAGGGGGUUUAUUAAGUUCCAAGUAAAAUUUCAAGGCUCAACUUUGAAUUCGCUUGGAAAACUAAUAAACUGGAGUCUAGCAGAGGUGCAUGGAACUUGUGGUGUAGGAGUGAAAUCCGUUGAUAUCACAAGGAACACCAAAGGCGAAGGCAUUGCACUGGGCUAGCACUGACCCUGAGAGACGAAAGCGUGGGGAGCAAAACGGAUUAGAUACCCGUGUAGUCCACGCCCUAAACGAUUAAUGCUAAAUGUUCGGGGAUUCGACCC
rnacentral:rRNA from 1 species